UCCCUGGUGGUCCAGAGGUUAGGAUUUGGCACUAUCACUGCCAGGGCCUGGGUUCAAUCCCUGGUCUGGGAA